GACGAACGCUGGCGGCGUGCUUAACACAUGCAAGUCGUACGGUAGGGCCCUUUCCUUGGUUCUCUAAUGUCGAACGGGGACGUAACACUAGCGUAACCUUCCCACACCUUUAGGAUAACGCUAACAAACUGAUGCCAAUGCUAGUUAUGUUCACCUUCUUCAUCGGCAUGGUUCGAAAGCUCCAGCCGGUGUUGAUGUACUCUCUGCCUAUCAGCGCGCUGCGUUAGUUAGUUGGUACGGGAACGGCUAACCAAGGCCACGCUGAAAAGCCGACCUGACAGGGUGACAGGCCACACUGGAACUGAGACACGGUCCAGACUCCUACGGGAGGCAGCAGUAGGGAAUCUUCCGCAAUGGGCGAAAGCCUGACGGAGCAACGCCGCGUGAGUGAUGAAGGUCUUCGGAUCGUAAAACUCUGUUAUUAGGGAAGAACAUAUGUGUAAGUAACUGUGCACAUCUUGACGGUACCUAAUCAGAAAGCCACGGCUAACUACGUG
rnacentral:rRNA from 1 species